AAUGGCAAGGUUCUCCUGUUAGUGUUUCUUACUACUUAGAAAGCUUUUGGCUUAUCCACACAACACAAGUUGCUUUAUCAAAAUCAUCAUACAAAAGUUAAACUCUAAGUUUAUUAAUAAACUCUUAAGCAUAUAAUCUAAAACUUGGUUACCUUGUUUCCUGCACUUUCAGCUAAUGCUCAACUCAAGUAGCUAGUAUAAACAAUCUUCCUCAUCUUUGUCGAAUCUGCGGCAAACAAAAGGAGCAGAGAUUAUGUAAAAAAAAACUUUUUUUUUUACGUUGUUGCUUUCUCUAAAAAAUCAUAGAAAAAUAUAAAACUUUAAGUUGAAUUUUAAACUCUCUAGCAAUAUAAAACUUCGUUACCUUAUUUCCCGCAGUUUCCGGGAAUGCUGAACUCAAGUAGCUAGUAUGAACACUGUUCCAAA
rnacentral:lncRNA from 1 species